GAAAUAAGGUGGUGAUGGAUCAACUCAUCCCACUCCUCAAACCAAACAAGUGAGCUAGGUUCGAAAUUAGAAUCGGAUGAUCCCAACUUAUUACUCAAACCAAACAGCCUAGUUCUUCAGAAACUUGUGAUGUGACGACGCCCGGGGGACGCGGUGACUACGGCGCCGGAGGCCGGGUGGCGUGUUAAUGGGUUUGCUUGUCCUCCACUGUAACUGCUAAGAACGCUCGUCUCGUUCUGGACUUCGUCAGGCUCCUAAGAACGCUCUUGAUUCAGAAGCUUCAGGGUACUGAGUCUGACUGCGCUCUCAUGUGUAGAUGGAAGUGGUGGAAUCCCAACCACCACAUGGUCUUCCAGAUUUGAUCAACCCCACUUGUUUAGUUUCGAGGUUUCUAAUGGUCAGAAUUCAGAAGCACACUGAACAUUUGUCGUCACCUUCGUCUCUCUGCUCAAAACUGAAGACACUGGAGGCACUUUCUCCCGGGACCAAAGCAUUUUUGUGUUCUGCAUAACAAGUAUGUUUCAUAAGGUACACCAGAAAAAUCAGAAAGCACCAAAAUGAGUAUCAGAAAGUGAGUUUCAUUCAACUAUUGCUCCAUUAAAAAAAGAAAAGCAAAAGAACGUGUGGCCUGUACAGUGCAGAAUUUACUUGGAAUACAUUUCAACUAGCUUCCUCA